rnacentral:lncRNA from 1 species
GGCUCUUGUAGGGAAGCCCAGGUUUGCUAGCUAUGAUCAAGAAUUCUCUCCGUGUGGGCUGAGUAGGCUUCCACUAAAGUAGGCCCUGCCUGUGCUACUAAAGCAGGGUCAGAAACAGUUCUGGGUCUGCUUCUCUAUGGGAAAGAUCUUUUACCCAGCUGCAACUCCAGAGCAAGCCUCUGGAAGGUAGUUUCAGCCCCUUGUCUUCCUCCCACUUUACCUGUCAGGACUUUUUUGUUCCAGGGACAAACUGAUUUCAGUAGUCCUGGGGAGGACUGGGCAAGAUUUACUAACCAGUACAGAUAGGUUGAGUUUGCCUACAGGAAUGCAAAAGGCUCAGGAAUGCUGCCUUCCUAGACAGUAUGCCCAACUAGAUGGGAUGAUGGCAUCAAGAUCGUUUUCCCUUACUGUUACCACCUACCCACCUUAUCCUGGAAAGCUUUCUAGCUUCUGCCUCAUAUUGUCUUGUCUGUUGGGUCCAGAGAACAGACAUGGGUCUCCCUAUUUUCCCAGCACACCUCCACCCCUUUAUUUGUUCCUAGGGGGAACUGCCCUAGGGUUCAGGGUGUGGAGUCUUCCCAGAAGUGUUUCAGAGCAAUGGAAGGUUCUUCUUUCCCCUUUUUAUUUAAGCAGGGAGUAAUCUUCAGUGUUGUACACAAAACAGGGAGGUUUUUUAAUUUUCCUGCAAGUCAAGUGCAGUUAUUUGGUGUACACUGUGGAAGGAUGCAGGACUGCUGUCCUGGGGAAGGCUUACUCUUGAAUAUGGAAGGUAGGGUUGGAUCUUGGACAGCUUCAACAAGUUGAGGCCAUCCCUUGGCCUCUCUGAGGCCUCAUUUUCCCCAUCUAAAAAACGUUCAUUACCUUAUUCAAUCCCCAAUACAGCCUGCACAGCAGGCCGCCUUAGCUUCAUUUCAUAGAUGAGAAAACACUCAGGGGGCUGCUGUUUUACUUGCCCACAAGGCCGCGCAGCUUGAUUGAAUUCAAGACUGUGACUCUGUAACCCUUGUGUCCAUCAGUAGGUAUUCAGAGCUUGAUACGUGACUCAGUGUAUUCUGUGUCCCACCACAGGCAGUUUCCUUUGCCCUCUCAUAGUCUACUUCAUGUCCACGGUGAGAAGGCCUCAGGAUUUAAGUCCUGCUGUGCGAGAUGCCUAUGGUUCAGGCCUGAUUAGAUCUGCCAGAGUAUGGGAUCUUGCCCGAGUACGGGGUAGUUAGUGGAGCAGCCAGAGGCCUGGAUCAGCUUCAGGGGCUCUGCCUGUUGGGUGCACAGAACAGAUACAGGUCUCCUUGUAUCUGUCACCCCUCCUUUUAUAUUUGUUCCUGGGGGAACAAACAGCCCUAAGGUUCAGGGUGUGGAGUCUUCUCAGAAGUAUUUUGGAGCAGUGGAAGACUCUUUCCCCCUUCUAUUUAAGCAGGGAGUAAUCUUUGGUGUUGCACACAAAACAGGGAAGUUUUUGGUAUUUCAGAAUCAUUUUGUCCAGUGGACCAUUCCUGGCCAGAGCUCAACAUUGCUGGCUGCUUUAUUCCCUGUCCUCCCCAAGUCCCACCAUUUCAAUUUACAGGAAAGAGCCUAUGGCACCUCCCCCUCCCCAGGUUAAGGACCAUUCUGGGUUUUGUAGUCAUCUAAGCACUUCAUAAUUUUUUAGUCUCACCAUCUAUGAGUUCUUUCCUUAAAUAGCUUGUUCCCUUCCCCCUUUAACAAAAUUAAGUUCUAUAGCAUGCAUUAGUAAGUUGCUUUUGUUCAGUAUUGUAUGAAAGAGAUCUUGUAAUGUACCCACACCCAUAUUGUGUGAAACUGUGGCUCUUUUACUAUAUAGUAUGUGUUUUGUGUGAACAAAGACACCAGGACACAUGGGCUUGCAACAUGGGGUGUCACAUCAUGCUCCACAGACAUCCUGGAGUUUUGGGGCAAAACCCAAACCAGUAUUGGUACCACCUUUAUUUAAAACCCUGAUAUUUUGGGGUAAUGGUUAUUUUUCUGGCCAUCUAAUAGUUAGUUCUACAGCUUUAUGAAAGUUUUCCUCACUGACCUAUGCUACUUCCAAAGUUUCUCUGAGUGCCUACAUCCUAUACACAUUUCUGGUGCUGUGCCAACAACAGUGCUAACUACCUCUUUAUAAAGUUAGGCUUGACAGCUACUAGAACAAGCCUUCCUCUCUUUCUUCCUAAAUAUUUUGGUGAUUAACUGCCCUUAGUGCUUCUAAGUACAUUCCAGAAUACCCUGCUGAUCAGAGUGUUUUAAAUGGAACUUCAAAAGUAUAGCAGUAGGCAAAAGUUCUAAGAUGUUGUCUAGCUUAUAAAUCCUUUAACCCAUUUUAUAGGUGUUCCACAUCUAUAACAGUCUAAACACAGUCUACAUAAAUACUAUUAAUAUUGACAUGUAAGCUCUAGAUUGUCCUUCAUCCUAUUUUACUGCACCUAUGUCAAUAUAUUUAACUCAGUCCCCUGUCUUUAGUGUUAACCAACCUAUCAGUACUGGCUGAUUCUGUCAUGCAUGAGGCACCCUCUUUCAACUCCAAUAACAUUUUGUUUUUAUGAAAGAAAUAUUUACAAAAAGUCUUCCCUAGAUGAAGUUGAUCUGAAUGCAUGUUUGUCAGUCACUAUGUUUUAAACAUAGUAAACCAACAGGUUUCCUUAAGCAUGAAACAGUUUCACUUUAAAAGACUAAAAUCGCAAGUCUUUACAAGUCUGUCCUGAGCAAUGAACCCUGUCAGACCUACCACCAGGAUGACUGGCUCAUCUGGCAGAUGGUGUGGAAGAAGACCUGUUCAGGCUCUCUGAUUAUGUUCAGAUAGAUAGACAUAGACACUUAAGCAUGUUUAAUUAUCAGUUCAAAGUGGAGCUGAAGAAAUUCCCUUCUCUGAGUCACGCUUGGGUAAAGGUUCUUGAAGUUCAAAUUGGUAUACUUUUAAAAAAUACUUGAAAUGAAACACCAUCUAAAAGAGGGUGAUUAUUUGGCUUUCAGCUUUCUCGACUUUUAGCUUAGUGUAGCUCAAAGACCAGGUACCCAGAUAUCUUUGAACUGGGGAGGUCUUUGAUUACCUGAGCAAGAUCAAGAUUAAAC